UACGGAGGGUGCAAGCGUUAUCCGGAUUCAUUGGGUUUAAAGGGUACGUAGGCGGGAUAAUAAGUCAGUGGUGAAAGCCCACAGCUCAACUGUGGAACUGCCAUUGAUACUGUUAUUCUUGAGUGCAAUUGAGGUAAGCGGAAUGUGGCAUGUAGCGGUGAAAUGCAUAGAUAUGCCACAGAACACCGAUCGCGAAGGCAGCUUGCCAAGUUGUAACUGACGCUGAGGUACGAAAGCGUGGGGAGCAAACAGG
rnacentral:misc_RNA from 1 species